AAGAUAAACACAGACAGUGAUCGAAAUAAUUUUCAAACUCAACCAGACAGUCGGGCAGGUGACCAAUAAAUGUUGCCUGCCCAUCUUGAAAGUUGCCUGCCUGCAAUUUUGACUCAUAGAUUGCAUUUUUUACAAAAACAAACAAGUAUCAUUGUUUCAAAUGUGAAUUAAUUUAGCAAAUUGAAUACAACAAGCAUGAAAUUAAAUACUCAGUCACAUCCCCAGCCUGUGACAUUUGAAAAGAGCCUGUUAAACUUGCAAUUCCACUUAUUGGUUUACAUCAUCAAAAUUAUGUAUUUUCUGAAAAAGUUUAAUAGCAAAACGUUUACAGCAAUACCCAUCUCAAAUAUAUCUUCUCCCUUGUUGUACAUACAAAGCUUCCAAAAGGGAGGUAUUUAAAUAUAUCAGCCAGACAAUGGGGCUGGUGGAGAUUUUUUUCAGGCAGCCCGACACGAAAGUUGCCAGCCUCGGGCAGGCAGGCAGGCCAUUAUUUCGAUCACUGUUUGCAAGGACCACCUGAAUAAGUAUGAUGAAAGUAACUAGAAAAAAGUGGAGAGUAAUGUUGAGUGACAUACACAGUUUUUCUUUUUGUCUGUGCCAUUUCUAUAUAAAAAAAUCUAAUGUACAAAGAUAACAUGGGAGUUUGUUAAGAGGAGUCAACCCAUGCUCUUCAUAUGGCAACUGUGC